GUUGGAGUUUGAGAGUCUACAGUUCACAUUGCUGGAUUCCUGGAUUGUAGAAAAACUGGAUUUCCCUCCCUCGUAUUUCUUCAGUGGGAGAAAACUUAAAACUGUCAAGUCCUUUCUGCAAUGUCUGGUUUCAUACUGCCAGACUCACCUCCAGCCUCAUUUUGAAGUAGUACAGUUUAAGAAACACAAGCUGGUGGAGCCCUCCAAGAAGCUGCAAGAAAACAUCUGCUCUCGUCACGAUGAGGUGAUGAAGACGUUCUGCCGCACUGAUCAGCAGUCUAUCUGUCAUCUCUGCUGUUUGGACCAACACAAAGGUCACGACACAGCCUCAGCUGCAGCAGAAAGGACUGACAUGCAGAAAAAGCUGGAGGAGAGUCAAGAAAACGUCCAGCAGAGAAUCCAGGACAGAGAGGAAGAUCUGAAGCUGCUCCAACAGGAGAUGGAGGCUAUCAACGGCUCUGCUGAUAAAGCAGUGGAGCACAACCAGGAGAUCUUCAGCCAGCUGAUCAGUCUCAUGCAUAAACACAGCUCUGACUUGGAGCAGCCGGUCAGAUCCCAGCAGGAAUGUGAAGUGAGUCAAGUCAAAGAGCUUUAGGAGAAGGUGGAGCAGGAGAUCACUGAGCUGAAGAGGAAAGACGCUGAUCUGCAGAAGCUCUCACUCAGAGGACCAAAACCAGUUUCUGCACAGCUACCCCUCACUGUUAGGACCAGGUCAACCUGCAGACUCACCCAGAAUUAAUAUCCAACCUCUGAGAUACUUUGAGCUCUGACACAGCUACUGUCACCUCCUUAGAGAUAAACUCCAGGAUCUUCUGACAGAGAUGAGGACAAACGUCUCACAGGCACUGACUGAAGUGGAUGUUUCACUGUUGGAACCAGAACCCAAGACCAGAGCUGGUCUCUUAAGAUAUACUCAAAGAAUCACACUGGAUCCAAACACAGCACACAGAGAGCUGUUAUUAUCUGAUAGAAACAGAAGAGCAACACGGACAGGACAACCACAGUCUUAUCCUGAUCAUCCAGACAGAUUCACCAUCAUCAAACCUUUCCUAAGUUCCUUCCCUAGUGGAGCAUCAACUAUCUCUGGCUCCUUUAAAGCAGAUUGUAAGAUAUUACACACAUAAGACACAUUAGGUAACCAUGCCAGACCGGCCAAAACACCUUGAAUAAGUUUGGUUAUCAAGUAAUUGUCAAAGCAGUGGUUGGGGUGCUUUGCAAAGCCUUCCUUAGCUCAGGCACAUUGAUAGGGGUUGAUGGUUUUAUUGUUUCUUUUCCUUUCUCACAGGGCGGGAUCGUCUUGGGCAUACAGAUCUGGGGUGGCUGUCCCCACAAAAGCUGCAAGUAUGGAUAUAUUUACAAUUAGUAUACUUGCACACAUUUUCAUUGAAAUUAAUACAGAUAGGGGUUAUGUUGGGUGUCACCUUGGUCCCGGUUCCAAGGCUUUUAGGUGGAUUUACAAUAGCCACGUAUUUUGGGCAUAAAUUAGAGGAGUGAGAGAAAGAGUUGCACAUAAGGCAGGAAAGAGCCUACAACGCCUGCUGAUCAGGGCCAGAUCUACGAUGGACCAGUCCACUCUUUGGUUAAAUCUCUGGAUAAACAUACAGCCGUAACAGAAAAAGAUUUAUUAUAUUCGUAAAAUAGAGUUCCACCAGAAGUCAUGGCGAGAUCAGCGAUGAUGGGGAGGUAUGUGUCCAGUUCAACUCUACGGGAUGGAUACUUCACAGAUGACGUCCCCAUAAAUGCUAAAAGCCACUGUGAAUUCUGCAAAGGACUUGAAGAGCCUGGAAUCGCUAUCUUUCAGCAGAACAGAAAUGUCUCCACACGUUUCAACCACACGUUUAUCACUGACAUCGGAGAACAGCAGGAUCUUAACUAAAUUAAUGUCAUUACCUGCCAGGAUCUGGCUCCUGAGAUUAGGAGAAAAUGCAGCUGCAGGAGUGUAGAAGGGGAUGCCCGUGGGGAUGGGAACUGCGCUACCCAGGGUUCUUUGCGGGACAGUAACAUUGUCGUAAGAGGCCAGGAUGACGUCUUUGAGCAGCGAUGAUGGGCCUGCGGUGGGGGAGGUGGUGCGAGCGCGGUCUUGGAAAGUAGGCCUUGUGGAUUGAAACAGCGUUGAAGUUGGAGCAUUAGCCUCCCGGGUCUUGAUCCUGGUGUUCAUAGAAAAGAGGGAGGACUGGAUGGAGGAAAGAGCCGACAUGAUGUCAGCAUUCGUUGGAGCUGCGUGCCUGUUGCAUGGCUGACCGCCAGGGCUGGAACUCUCGUCCUCUUGUGCGUCUGGGCAGCGCCGACUGCCAAGGCUGUACCAGAAUUGCAUCUCAUCAUGCUUUGGAGGGUUUUUCACCAUAAAAGUGGAAAAAAAAGUUGUUGCAACUUCAAAGUUUAGUAUAAAUAGUUUAUACUGAACCAAAACUUUUGCAGAAAUUAAUAGUUAACUUUGUAAAUAGAGUGGGGGUGGCAGAAAGACAAUACCUACCAAAAGGACUGCCUUUCUGCUCACCUACAAACAUGGGCACCAUUGUAAUCUCACAGGUGGGGCAGUGGAGGGCUCUGAACUGAUUUUCCAUCUUUGAUAGCGCAGCACAAAAGCAGCAUUGUUCACCAUGGGCAGGCACUCUCCAUCUCAGGAGGAUAAAAGGCACAGGGAAUAAUUGCUUACCCUCACACUGUGUGUGAAGUGUGUCUCCCAUCAGCAGCCUGGCAUGAUGAUGCCGAUAGCAUGAGACUCUGCCAUCCCUCCACACCUCUUUUAACACGUACAACACACCGCUGUCCGUGUUCACCACUGUGACAACCAACCCUGGAGGGGGGCCAUAGAAAAUAGCACCCCCUGAUGUAGAUCUGUGCACAUGCUGUGAAAAAGAGCCCACUCAAGGAGCAGGGGUACACUCAUUAAGUCAACAAUCACACAGGGGUACACACACACAGACAGGUUUGAUCCUCCUGUGCUGCUGUAAAAUGCAAACACACAGUUCACACAAACCGAUCUGCAUCUCCAGUGGGUCUCCCUGUUGUGUAUCUGCUAUCUGCAAAUAUGCUGAUGUUGUCACUGUUGCGGCUCACACACACGCAUGCACACAUCAUGUGUUCAUAGGGUAAAUAUGUUUGGAGCCAUCACGCCUGAUCAUCUAAUCAUGACUGGACCCCCAGGGACCGCAGCAUCCCUGCCUGUUCCCCCCUACCGUAAAUGCUGAUAACACAAUUCUCCCACAAUGCCCUUCAACACAGAUUCAUAUCUCAGAAGGGGGGUGGAAGGCUGCGGAGACUGCUUGGAAGAAGAAGUGCUGCUUUGCCAAUUUCUCUUUCUUUCUUCCUUUUUUUGAGGGAGAUAAUUGGUGUGUUUUGAGUUUUUAUCCACCCGCUUCCAUUAUUUCUUCUCUAACUUGUGAUUGUUCAGCACCAACAAUUUUCUUGUGGUUACGUGUCUUAUUCUGAUCACUCAUAGCUCCUCUUAGAAUUUCACUCUGACAAACUUUUAAUGUCCUGCUGGCAGAGGAGCUUGUUGACUCAGAGCUACUGUCUAAUGAGGCCUGAUCAGAAGAGGGGGUUUUGAGUACAACAGAAGGUCUAUUUGAGCCAAAACAUGCACAAGACUUGAACCAAGGAGACCUGGGGUGCACAGUAGAUCCUUAGCUGGGGUAACAUGAUAGUGGAAAUGUUAAUUUGCAUGCAGGAAGUGAUGGUUUUGUUCUGGGAGAUUUGUGCUCUUCCACAUGCAUAGGUAGAAAGACAAUCCUCAGCAAAGCAGAGCAAAUCUCCUGUAGAUUAAAAGCUAAGGCAGUGGAGAGCAGGAGUAUAGAUCCCCAGUUAUAAAACAGUGACAAUACAUGCAGUAUGAUGCUGGUAAACUCACGCACAGCAUGAAAGGGAGGAGCUGGGGUUAGUGCUGGACAAUUGAUUGAAUUUUAAUCAUGAUUUUGAUUUUGGCUUCUCACUACCAUAAAAAAAACAUUACAAUCGACGAAAACAAUUAAUGCGGCGCCGCGUGUAUGUAAGUUCCUGUGCUGGAAAAACACCUUGAAUGCGCCCCUGUUAUGUGCAGCUGCAACAAGUGUACGACGUGUGUGUGUGUCACUAAUAUGUGUGUCAAUAAUACGAGCGAGCGAUUGAAUUUGCAGAAAGGCGGCACUUGGUUGAGAAGAAAAGUAGGACAACUUCAGUUAUCUGGAAACACUUUGGCUUCAAUUUGACGGACAUUGAGCAAGAGGAAAUAGUUUUUGGCAUUUUGCAAGUUUUGCAGGAGUGCAUGUAGAUUGGGUAUUUAUUCUUAAUUAUUGUUUUUAUUGCUAUCAUUAUCUAAAUUGAAUAUUGUUAUUUUUAUUUUUUUUACUUUUUAUUUCUGUCCUUUUGAUGUACACUCACCAGCCACUUUAUUAGGUACACCUGUCCAACUGCUCGUUAACACUUAAUUUCUAAUCAGCCAAUCACAUGGCGGCAACUUAGUGCAUUUAGGCAUGUAGACAUGGUCAAGACAAUCUCCUGCAGUUCAAACCGAGCAUCAGUAUGGGGAAGAAAGGUGAUUUGAGUGACUUUGAACGUGGCAUGGUUGUUGGUGCCAGAAGGGCUGGUCUGAGUAUUUCAGAAACUGCUGAUCUACUGGGAUUUUCACGCACAACCAUCUCUAGGGUUUACAGAGAAUGGUCCGAAAAAGAAAAAAUAUCCAGUGAGCGGCAGUUCUGUGGGCGGAAAUGCCUUGUUGAUGCCAGAGGUCAGAGGAGAAUGGCCAGACUGGUUCGAGCUGAUAGAAAGGCAACAGUGACUCAAAUAACCACCUGUUACAACCAAGGUAGGCAGAAGAGCAUCUCUGAACGCACAGUACGUUGAACUUUGAGGCAGAUGGGCUACAGCAGCAGAAGACCACGCCGGGUGCCACUCCUUUCAGCUAAGAACAGGAAACUGAGGCUACAAUUUGCACAAGCUCAUCGAAAUUGGACAAUAGAAGAUUGGAAAAACGUUGCCUGGUCUGAUGAGUCUCGAUUUCUGCUGCGACAUUCGGAUGGUAGGGUCAGAAUUUGGCGUCAACAACAUGAAAGCAUGGAUCCAUCCUGCCUUGUAUCAACGGUUCAGGCUGGUGGUGGUGGUGUCAUGGUGUGGGGAAUAUUUUCUUAGCACUCUUUGGGCCCCUUGGUACCAAUUGAGCAUCGUUGCAACACCACAGCCUACCUGAGUAUUGUUGCUGACCAUGUCCAUCCUUUUAUGACCACAAUGUACCCAACUUCUGAUGGCUACUUUCAGCAGGAUAAUGCGCCAUGUCAUAAACUCACUGUACUCAAAUGGCCUCCACAGUCACCAGAUCUCAAUCCAAUAGAGCAUCUUUGGGAUGUGGUGGAACGGGAGAUUCGCAUCAUGGAUGUGCAGCCGACAAAUCUGCGGCAACUGUGUGAUGCCAUCAUGUCAAUAUGGACCAAGCUCUCUGAGGAAUGCUUCCAGCACCUUGUUGAAUCUAUGCCACGAAGAAUUGAGGCAGUUCUGAAGGCAAAAGGGGGUCCAACCCGUUACUAGCAUGGUGUACCUAAUAAAGUGGUGAGUGUAUAUUUGAAGUUAAGUAUUGGUGGUUCAAUUAAUACUUAAGUUUUCAAAUCAAUGAAUAAUCGUGUUUUUUGAUCGUGAUUUCAAUAUCAGUCAAAAUAAGCAUGAUUAUUAUCUUUGCCAUAAUCGUCCAGCCCAACCUAGGGAGGAGGAGGGUAACCUGGCAGCUUCUGGAGGAAGCAGCAAGAGUACGCAUGAUGGAGAAGUCUGCCUGUUUUGACAUUCACCAAUUGGAGGUAACGUAGAAGGUUAGUGUCUGGGUUGUCAGCUGAUAUGAGUUGGCGUUCAGGUCAGUUGAUGACUCCUGGGCUAAGCUUGAUUUGUGGCCUGCCUGAAUUAACACUAUGUUCAUUGUAGCCUAAAGAAAGUGAGUUGUCAAAGUAAGUUCAUUACCAGCUUCUUGUUGCCCUGUAUCUCUAACUGGAGCUUAAGGUUUUGUCAGGCCAGCUUUACUCAAAGAAUGAUUUGGUUUGUUGAGCUUGCUUUGUAGUAGUAUUCUGGUGGAGGGGAGGGAUCUUAGCUUACCCUGUUAGAAUUACAUACUAUAGUUGUGGCAAAUAUUUAUGGUAUACGGCAAAACAAUGCACAGGAGACAGGAUGAGAUCUGAAGAGCAGCCUGAGCAUCUUUAUUGUAGAUUCAAUACAGAUGAUGAACAGAGUCUUGACCAAACCAAAGGAGAGUGGCCCCAGGCUUCUCUCGCUCACCCUUUAAUACUACUGAGUGCGUAUCUGAAUACAAUGAUUGUGUAUUGCUUGUGUACUAGAGUGCACCCCUUAUAUGUGUAUUGCAGUAAGAGAGCAUGCAUGAGUCUUCUGUAUGUGUGUGUGUGUGUGUGUGUGUGUGUGUGUGUGUGUGUGUGUGUGUGUGUGUGUGUGUGUGUGUGUGUGCUUUACCUGUUAUAUAUCUAUUCACCAGGAGGUCAUCCAAGGACACGUCUCGGUGUUCUGAAAUUCACCCAUUGUUUGGAUUAUUCUUGGACUUCGUAGAAACUAGCCUUAAGUGUUUUGGCAACCCUAUAAGUUAUGGUUCCCUUAACAUAGCCUGGGUUAUACAACCUCAGACUGCACAAUCAAGCCUAACCAAA